rnacentral:rRNA from 1 species
GGCAACUCGGGGGCCGCAGGCCGCGGGAAACCGGAGGGUGCAGGUGUUAAUCGGGUUUCCUGGGCGGAAGGCGGGUGUAGGUGGCUUCCUAAGUCGGUUGUGAAAUCCCUGGGCUCAACCUGGGAAUUGCAGUCGAUACUGGGAAGCUCGAGGUCGGUAGAGGACGGCGGAAUUCCCGGUGUAGCGGUGAAAUGCGUAGAUAUCGGGAGGAACAUCGAUGGCGAAAGCAACCGUCUGGGCCUGAACUGACACUGAGACACGAAAGCGUGGGGAGCAAACAGGAUUAGAUACCCGGGAGUC